UACGUAGGGUGCGAGCGUUUGUCCGGAAUUAUUGGGCGUAAAGAGCUCGUAGGCGGCUUGUCGCGUCGGAUGUGAAAGCCCGGGGCUUAACUCCGGGUCUGCAUUCGAUACGGGCAGGCUAGAGUGUGGUAGGGGAGAUCGGAAUUCCUGGUGUAGCGGUGAAAUGCGCAGAUAUCAGGAGGAACACCGGUGGCGAAGGCGGAUCUCUGGGCCAUUACUGACGCUGAGGAGCGAAAGCGUGGGGAGCGAACAGG
rnacentral:rRNA from 1 species